CACGUAGGGGGCAAGCGUUGUCCGGAUUUAUUGGGCGUAAAGAGCUCGUAGGUGGUUCGAUAAGUCGGGUGUGAAACCUCCAGGCUCAACCUGGAGACGCCACCCGAUACUGUCGUGACUAGAGUCCAGUAGGGGAGCGUGGAAUUCCUGGUGUAGCGGUGAAAUGCGCAGAUAUCAGGAAGAACACCGAUGGCGAAGGCAGCUCUCUGGGACGGUACUGACGCUGAGACGCGAAAGCGUGGGGAGCGAACAGG
rnacentral:rRNA from 1 species